CCCUUAGAUGUUCUGGGCCGCACGCGCGCUACACUGAUGCAUUCAACGAGCCUAUCCUUGACCGACAGGUCCGGGUAAUCUUUGAAUCUGCAUCGUGACGGGGAUAGAUUAUUGCAAUUAUUAAUCUUCAACGAGGAAUGCCUAGUAGGCGCAAGUCAUCAGCUUGCGUCGAUUACGUCCCUGCCCUUUGUACACACCGCCCAUCACUCCUACCGAUUGGGUGUGCUGGUGAAAUGUUCGGAUCGGCCGUUUGUCGCGGUUUCCGCGUCAUGUGGCUGAGAAGUUCAUUAAACCCUCCCACCUAGAGGAAGGAGAAGUCGUAACA
rnacentral:rRNA from 1 species